rnacentral:tRNA from 1 species
GUUUUUAUAAUUUAAAUUAAAAUACUGGUCUUGUAAAUCAGAAAUAUGUGUAACAUUAAAAAC